rnacentral:rRNA from 1 species
AGCGAACGCUGGCGGCAGGCUUAACACAUGCAAGUCGAGCGGGCACUUCGGUGUCAGCGGCAGACGGGUGAGUAACACGUGGGAACGUGCCCUUCGGUUCGGAAUAACUCAGGGAAACUUGAGCUAAUACCGGAUACGCCCCUUUGGGGAAAGGUUUACUGCCGAAGGAUCGGCCCGCGUCUGAUUAGCUAGUUGGUGGGGUAAUGGCCUACCAAGGCGACGAUCAGUAGCUGGUCUGAGAGGAUGAUCAGCCACACUGGGACUGAGACACGGCCCAGACUCCUACGGGAGGCAGCAGUGGGGAAUAUUGGACAAUGGGCGCAAGCCUGAUCCAGCCAUGCCGCGUGAGUGAUGAAGGCCUUAGGGUUGUAAAGCUCUUUCG